rnacentral:rRNA from 1 species
AACUUGCCUCUUGGACUGGGACAACUGUUGGAAACGACAGCUAAUACCGGAUAUUAUGAGAUUCUCGCAUGAGAAACUUAUGAAAGCUAUAUGCGCCAAGAGAGAGCCUUGCGUUCCAUUAGCUAGUUGGUGGGGUAACGGCCCACCAAGGCGACGAUGGAUAGCCGGCCUGAGAGGGUGAACGGCCACAAGGGGACUGAGACACGGCCCUUACUCCUACGGGAGGCAGCAGUGGGGAAUAUUGGACAAUGGGCCACAAGCCUGAUCCAGCAAUUCUGUGUGCACGAUGAAGGUCUUCGGAUUGUAAAGUGCUUUCAGUUGGGAAGAAGAAAGUGACGGUACCAACAGAAGAAGCGACGGCUAAAUACGUGCCAGCAGCCGCGGUAAUACGUAUGUCGCAAGCGUUAUCCGGAUUUAUUGGGCGUAAAGCGCGUCUAGGCGGAAAAAUAAGUCUGAUGUUAAAAUGCGGGGCUCAACUCCGUAUUGCGUUGGAAACUGUUUUUCUAGAGUACUGGAGAGGUGGGCGGAACUACAAGUGUAGAGGUGAAAUUCGUAGAUAUUUGUAGGAAUGCCGAUGGAGAAGUCAGCUCACUGGACAGAUACUGACGCUGAAGCGCGAAAGCGUGGGGA